rnacentral:rRNA from 1 species
UGGAUUAGUGGCGCACGGGUGAGUAAGGUAUAGUUAAUCUGCCCUACACAAGAGGACAACAGUUGGAAACGACUGCUAAUACUCUAUACUCCUGCUUAACACAAGUUGAGUAGGGAAAGUUUUUCGGUGUAGGAUGAGACUAUAUAGUAUCAGCUAGUUGGUAAGGUAAUGGCUUACCAAGGCUAUGACGCUUAACUGGUCUGAGAGGAUGAUCAGUCACACUGGAACUGAGACACGGUCCAGACUCCUACGGGAGGCAGCAGUAGGGAAUAUUGCGCAAUGGGGGAAACCCUGACGCAGCAACGCCGCGUGGAGGAUGACAC